GGUAGAAUGGCUGAGGUAAGCAUUAGACUGUAAAUCUAAACAUAAAGGUAGUAACCCUUUUUCUACCA
rnacentral:tRNA from 1 species